GGUUUCUCUGCCUCGCCAGACCAUUCAUCCCCUUGCGGCGGCAGCUGGGCGUGCGAGGGAUCGCCAUGGGAUAGGCUUGAGUUCUUCGAGGAAGCCGAAUCAGGCUUGAUUCCUAUGGUCGAUGCCAGGGAUCUCUUGGGGGGAGAUGUGGCUGUUGUGCAAUCCGUCGUUGCUUCAAUCCAUAAAGCAUCCCACAACUGUGUGUGCAAAAUGGGCUAAAAACUACAGGAUUAGGAUUGGCAAAGUGUCAGAUGAGACGGAAAGCAAUCCAAGUCGAGUUCCUGCGCUCGAGGCUUCGAUGCGUGCUUAUGCAGACAAGAAAGCUGGUGUGCUAAAAGCCGGUUGAACGUUCAUCGGAAAAAAUGCAUCCAGGAAAUUGUGUGCAUGUGUGCGGGUAAACCAUUGCAAUCAAAUAGCCGUUCCACACUUUGUGGCUUCACUGCCAUGAUGAGGGUCCUUAGAUAAGAUGAUAAGGGAUUAAGGGCUGGUACGUUUGCAAACACAGGGCAGAGCACAACCAGACUUUCUGUCAACUAUAUGGAGAAAUUACACUGGAAGUCUCAUCGGCACAUAGAUAGAUACACAAGGGACCUUGUGAAACAGCCGAGGAAAAAAUGUAAGCAUAAACAAGGUUUACAGUGUCGUUGGCAGUUUUUUUGGUUCAGUAAAAGAGGCGCCAUUCACCAAAAGGUCUCUGAAGAAGCUUAACCAAGAGCAAUCAGGAAAUGAUGCAACAAAGACCAUAGAGGUGUUCAACGCGAUGAGAGGUGAAGAUCCUGAUUUCACAUACAGUGUACAGAUUAACGAGGUGGGUCGAGUGAAAAAUCUGAUGUGGACAAUGGAAAAAAUCCAACACAAAGGUGGAGGCCAAAAUCCAGCACAGAGUGCCUCGCAAUGUUCUGAUUGUUUUGCAGCACCGACAAAGAAAAGGGCAGCUGGACGCCCUAGCACAAGUCGCGGCAAAGCACCAUAUGAGCAACCAAAAAAGAGGUCUAGGUUCUGUUCUAUCUGCAGAGGUUAAGGUCACAAGAGCACCACUUUUCCGCAACGAGGAGAUGUUCCAAAGGCGCCGAGGAAGUCGCCUCGAUGCUCCAGAUGCAGCUGGUGAGGUCACGGGAAGAACACUUGCACCAACCCGCCCAAAGCAGACUUUGAAAAUUCAGAUUGCUAACUGAACAAAUCCGCUGUGUAUCGAGUUUGCACUAUAAUGCUUCUUUGGGUGUGAUUUGAUUUCCUUGUUGUGUCGCAGUUGUCGAGUCCUUGAUUAAAUCCUGUAAUACACUGAAAUUGUGGUGUUGCUAUGAGCAGGUGACGUUUAGUUUGACCUUUUCAGUUUGGAAAUCUGCCAGACCUUGUUUCUGAAUAAUAUUGUCGUCACUAUCUUCUGAGUCCUGUAACACCCUGAAAU